AUGACAUAACCUUGGAACAGCUCUCCUUUCAGGUUGGAGCACUUACUCAGAAAGCGCUCAUUUGUGUGUUGAAGUCCCCAGCCCUGGUAACAUUAGGAAGCUCAUAAAGACGGGUCUUCAGAAGCCAGAAGAUUAAACAAAUGCCAGCUCCAUAAGGCCAUGCUCUUCCAUCAGAAGAGAAACACCAUGUAAACAAAGAACCUGAAGGUGGAAGUGAAAUUUGAGAGCAGAAAGAGCACACAAAAGCAGGAUUCAUACCAGUCCAGGCUGGGGGAGGAGGAGAAAAGCGAGGAAGUGAGGCACCGAACAAGCAGAAAGCCUGCAGAGAAAGAAGUCAAUAGAUCAAUUAAAAGCUGUGAGUCAUUGGCUUUCUGAUUCCAGCGGGCUAGUGGCAGAGGAUUCAAUCCAAUUAACAUGUGUUAAUUUAUUAAUGGUGGGUAGAACUAGGAAGCUUGAGUGGGAGAGUAGAUUCUGGGUGGUGGGAACGAGAGAUCUGGGGAAGAAACAUUAAUACGUGGUGCCAAUCUUUCUAUGUAUUUCCUAUUAGGGGGCUCUUAAAUCAAAACUUUGAUGCAGGCAAUGCUCUUCUCAUAUGAUAGAUGAGGGAACCAAGACUUGGGCACUACGUAGCUUUCCCAAUCGCACUGUUGGUAAACGGCAGAUCCUGUUUCCAAAUGUGAGUGUUUCUGAUUCCAAAAUCUCAUCUUGUCCCCAGCCCCAUUUUAUCACCAAUGCCUUAGUGCAUUAUAAUGGAAUCCAAGAGUAGGAAUACAGCAAAGAAUACAAAGCAGGUUUUAACCUCUCAAAAAAUGUUCUGGACGAGUAAGGAAAGAAAGGCAUGUAAACAAUGAGCCAAAUCAUGAGAUAGAGUGAAAUGUGUGUUUGGGUGGUUAUAAACAAAGUGCUGAGGAUCCCAGAUAAAAGAGUGUUUCAUUGCAAUUCUUGCAAGGAACAGGAAAUGCUAUCUAAGAAUGUGGUGCUAAUGGACUGAAAUGAAAAGAUCUUGGAUCAAGCUUAGUAAGUGAAGAAUUAAGGGAGGACUACCAUGCAUGAGGAAGGGGAAGCGAUUAUCAUGCACAGGACAUGGAAAUAAGAUGGGAAAAAUUGCUUGUAACCAGCCUGGGGUAACCCUUGAAUAAGUCUCAGCAGUUGGAUUCUGUACUGGAAGCAACAAAGGUCAACAGAAGAAAUUUAAGGAAAAGAGAGAGGUGGUCUGCUGCACAGAUGUCUGGGGCAAACCCUGCCUCAAUAUAGUCACAACUUACUUUGAUUCUGGAGGCUGGAAAUCUGAGAGCACAGUACCAGUAUGGCCAAGAGAGGGCCCUCUUCUGGAUGGCAGAUUUCUGAGCUUCUAAGUUGUAUCUUCACAUUGAAGAAAGGGAAAGAAACAAACAUCAGUACCCCACACCCUGGAGAUCUGAUGUACUGAAUUUUUGGGACUCCAUUCAGUUGCCGCUAGAGAACUGACUGUAUGAUAUUGCAAUGAUUCAUCCGGUGUCUGUCUUCUUUACAUAGUCUGGGAUCCUUGAAGAAACCAAGAGCAGAAUACAUUCUUUCUCCCAGAUCCAGGGUUCAUCUUAUUUUAUUCCCCCUGUGAUUGGUUUAUUCAUUCAGAAGAAACCCUCAAUGAAUUAAGGAUCCUGCUAGUUGCCUGGCACACAGCAAAUAUUCAAAAGUAUGUAUUGCUGAAAAUUUCUUUUUCUAUUAAUUCAUGCUGAAAUGUACAUAUUCAGAGUUCACAAUGGAUCAUGGAGAUGGAAUUACAGAGGCGAGAACUGGGAGGCAUUGCAGAAGUGAGUGCCUGCCUGCACUCCCACCCCAGUGGGUAACAGAUGAGGACUGAAAUCUCUGUCUUCCCAUUAUCAAUGCUAUGCUCUUUCUGUUAUUUUCAAUUGUACCAGCUAUGGAAUAACCCACGAAAGGUGCAGAACUAUUCAGCAGUAGUACUGGAAACAGUGUUGUGUAGACACAUUGUGCGUGUCAUAAACUGAAACCAAAUGAAGAUAGGUAAUCUGGCUUGAAUUUCUUGUUGUUACUGUUGUUGGUAUUGGAGAAUGCUCACAAUUCUCCAAACUCAUUCUCUUAUUAAAUAAAUACAUGAGAGAUGUUUGACCAAUGAACUUGUCAUCAGGAAUCCAGCUCUGACAACGCCCAUCAUGAAGCUAAAAGAAGUCGCCCUUGUCCCAAAACACAGCCUGGUGUCG